rnacentral:lncRNA from 1 species
UAAAAGAUGCAAAAUCAAUCAACACGAAGGAACACAAGAUUUUUACCGUGGAAACCCUUGAAUGGAGAAAAAUCACGUGCCACUCUCCGGACAAAGAUCAUGCAUAUAACCCGAGGUUCAACGAUUACAAAACUCCUACAACCAAAAUCUAUCAAACGCCAUGAAGUUGAGGUGAAAUAUUCCGAAUCAUACAAGUCUCUCUUAGCACGAGAUGCAUAAAUAUGCUUGAAAACCUUUCCGAAUGUUCCAAAAUUACUUUAUAAACAUCUUCAAAUUACUUGUGCUGAUACUUAACUUCCCAACUACAUUAAAGACAACGUUGUCACGAAAUCUCGCCAAUACACAACCUUACUGAAGUUUUAAUAAUUAUUUUUUUUUAAUUUUUGUAAAUUAUUUUUGGCUUGGCCCAUAAGAAAAAUCAAAAGUUGUGUCAAAGUCUUUUGCACAAAUUUCACAACAAAAAAACAUAAAUUGCAGCUAAUAAUUCUGUUAAACAUGCUCAAUAUGAUAUAGUAUGUGUUUAGUAUUCUAUUAAUUAUAGGGUAUUUGACACUUUUUUUAAGUGAUAUUUUGUUGUGCAAAAAUAUAUUUCAAUUGCUAAUCCUUUUGAAGUAUCAUUUUAAUAUGUAUGACAACAACAUAGAAGCCUAAUUGGGGAUCUUACUACUUUCAUUAGAUUAUGUUUCUUUAUUUUAUUUUUUUCCCGUUUUUUAAUGUCCAUUUGACUCGGCCUAUAGCUGGCUCCUCACAAAAACCUCAAGUUUGAUCAUUAUAUAACAAUAAUGCCAACCAUCGGCCCAAUGAGCAGUUGUUAAUUAGCAACUACAAUGCAUUGAUAAAUGUAAAAAGUAUAUAAAUAUCCGUGUAAAUAUAUUAAAACAUGUAAAAAGCGUAUAAAUGCCUAUGCAAAGUGAUCGUUAACUACCGGCCAAAGCCAAUAAGCGGUAAUUAGCUAAACCGAUUAUAUAAUAUUACAAUGAGAACAUCUCCAUCGGUGCCAAAUGAGCUGCCAAUUUGGCAAUUAAAACCCAAAAAUUAACAAGCUCCAAUGGUUGUGCACAAGGCUUGCCAAAUUUUGGCAAAUCCCUGUUCUUUGCCAGAUUUAACAACAACUUUGGCAUUGUCAAACUUGCUACAUUAUCAGCAAACCCAACUGUACCAACAUCAAUUGAUCUUCAAACCCAACCAUACCAACACCAGCUGACCUCUCUGUACCAACAUCAAUUGAUCUUCCACCCAACCAUACCAACACUAGCUGAUCUAUCCCUCCCACCUUCUCCAUUUGAUUUCCAAUAGAUUUUGAUUCAAUGAUAAAAAAAAGAACAAUGGACCAAAAUAACUUUAAAUCAAUGGAGUAAUAUUGUCAAAAAAGGGCAAAAUAUUAUUGUAGCAUACCAAAAUUUGGUAGUGACUUUGCCAAAAUGGCCCAAGAUUGGAUAAUUUGGCUGAUUCUCUUUGUGCCAAAUUUACUUUCCCUAUCUCUUUGUGCUUUCUAUAAUUACCAACAGUUCAAAAACUUCAAGCAUAAAAAGAUUGAAAUAGUAAAAGCACUUACAACUUGCCAAGGGUCUAUUUGAAUUAUAGAGUUAAAAAGAGGAUUUAUCAAGGGAAAGAAAAGUAAUAGAAAAGUCAAAUAAACAAAGUUACCUUCUUCAUUUUAUUGUUUUCUUGUCCUUUUCUUUACAUUUUCUUUUUCUUCAAUAAAUUACUUGCCCCUCAAAUUCACACCGGUACUGUCUACUAGGUGAUGGCUAAUAUACACUCUUUACAUAUAUCAAUAAUCAGGGCCGACUCUGGAAUAAGUCCAGCAAGCUAUUGAGCUUGGGCAACCACCAAGAUAGGGUGAACAUCAGCCCCCCCUUCAAUUUUUUUCUCUUUAUAAUUUGUAUGACUUUUUUUUUAGUAAUGUAUUAAUAGUACGAGAGUAAAUAUAUUGAGAUCGAGUUAGAACAACCCAAAUGUCAAAACUGGUCCUGUCAAUAAUACAUUACUUUUUUAUGCAUAUGAAUACGAACUCAUUUGGUGGCGAUUAACAUUUAUUUUUAUAAAUUCAAACGUGCAUAACAGCAUAAUCUUCGAGGUAAAUCCUACGAGAACAACCUAGGAAAACUCAGAACAAUAAAAAAACAAGAAUUACUAUAUUAAUUGAUAAACUUGAAACACCUAGCAAAAAAAAAUUAUGCAACUAUAUAUAGACCAAGACAGGACAGACGCCAUAAUUGAAGCCAAUGUCAUGGUUUAUACGUGAUUUGGAGAGAUCAUUGCAAAAGGGUGUGAACUUGAAAGAUGUUGUGAGUAAUGAGUUUUAUAGAUUUUCUAGCUAUGUGUUUCAGAUAAGAAUAUAUGAUUUAAAGCGUGUUAUUGAUGAUCCGAGGUAGGUAAGGAGCAUGACAUCUGAGAGAUCUGGUUUAGAUUCAUCAAUUUCAGUGCUUGUGUGGUGGAUGUCAGGAUUGUGCAGAGCAUAUUGGUUUUUGUGUUUAUUUUUUGGCACUUUCCAAAU